GGAGCCGAAUAGCACCACCCUAUGUGCUGCUGCCCCUCAGACCUAAGUUGCCAAAACCACAUCCCAACUUCGUGCCAGCCUGGCUUUUCCUCUUUCACACCACAGCCUUCCCUCAGGAUCACCAUGCUUCCUUACACUGUCCUGCCCAGGGACUGGAGAGCCAAGUUCUAGGUCCCUGCCUCUACCUUACAUGGGCUCCAGAGCCUCCAGGCCAGCAGUAGCCUGCAGAUAUGUGGAACCUUUUGGGGUUCCUUCCUCUGCUCCUUCUCAAGCACCUUCUCCUCGUCUACUCCCCACUAACACUGAGCUUUGCUCAACUCCUGGGAUCAGGAUUGAGUCUCCUCCACAAGCUCUUCUUUCUUCUCCAGACCAAGCCUUCAGCACAGGAGCCUUUGAAGGCUAUUCCAGAUUCAAACUAAAACAGAUGCAGAUAGUAAAGAGCCAAGUAUGACCUUUGUGUGUUUCUGUGAAUUUAUGGUGCCAAAACAUUAUUAGCCGCUUUUAAUUUAAUCA
rnacentral:lncRNA from 1 species